rnacentral:rRNA from 1 species
GGAAGUUGACGGGGCCCGCACAAGCGGUGGAGCAUGUGGUUUAAUUCGAUGCAACGCGAAGAACCUUACCUGGGCUUGACAUCCCUGGAAUCCCCUGGAAACAGGGGAGUGCCUUCGGGAGCCAGGAGACAGGUGCUGCAUGGCUGUCGUCAGCUCGUGUCGUGAGAUGUUGGGUUAAGUCCCGCAACGAGCGCAACCCUUGUCUUUAGUUGCCAUCAUUUAGUUGGGCACUCUAAAGAGACUGCCGGUGUCAAACCGGAGGAAGGUGGGGAUGACGUCAAGUCCUCAUGGCCUUUAUGACCAGGGCUACACACGUACUACAAUGGCCGGUACAAAGGGCAGCCACUUAGCGAUAAGGAGCCAAUCCCGUAAAGCCGGUCUCAGUCCGGAUUGGAGUCUGCAACUCGACUCCAUGAAGUUGGAAUCGCUAGUAAUCGCAGAUCAGCACGCUGCGGUGAAUACGUUCCCGGGUCUU